UACAGGGGGUGCAAACGUUGCUCGGAAUCAUUGGGCGUAAAGCGCACGUAGGUGGUCGUUUAAGUUGGAUGUGAAAGCCCUCGGCUCAACUGAGGAAGUGCAUCCAAAACUGAGCGGCUAGAGUACGAAAGAGGGUCGCGGAAUUCCCGGUGUAGAGGUGAAAUUCGUAGAUAUCGGGAGGAACACCAGUGGCGAAGGCGGCGACCUGGUUCGAUACUGACGCUGAGGUGCGAAAGCGUGGGGAGCAAACAGG
rnacentral:rRNA from 1 species